GACGAACGCUGGCGGCGUGCUUAACACAUGCAAGUCGAACGGACAGGCGCAGCUUUCUCGGUGCUCGUGUUGCCAACGGGCGGGUAACUCGUACGUGAUCUGCCUCUCUCUUCGACUUAAGCAUCUUCAACUAGCUCUAGUUCCGGCUAGGACAAUUUUUUAGCCUCAGUUGUCGAAAGUUUUUUCGGUUCUUGCUGGGCCCGCUGCCUAGCACCUUGUUGGUGUGGUAAUGUCCUACCAAAGCGUCGACGGGUAGCCGGCCUGAGAGGGUGGACGGCCACAAUGGGACUGAGAUACGGACCAGAAUCCUACGGGAGGCAGCAGGGGGGAAUAUUGCAGAAUGGGCGCAAGCCUGAUGCAGCGACGCCGGGUGCGGGAUGACGGCCUUCGGGUUGUAAACCUAUGUCGACAGGGACGAAGCCUUGGUGACGGUACCUGUAGAAGAAGCACCGGCUAACUACGUG
rnacentral:rRNA from 1 species